GAUAGCCUCUCGAAAGAGAGAUUAACACCGCAUAAAAUCAAUUUAUGGCAUCAUAGAAUGAUCAAAUAUUUAUAGGAACAAGAUGGGCAUGCGGAACACUAGCUAGGUGGUAAGGUAACGGCUUACCAAGGCUACGAUGUUUAGGGGAUCUGAGAGGAUGACCCCCCACACUGGUACUGAGACACGGACCAGACUCCUACGGGAGGCACCACGUAAGGAAUAUUGGUCAAUGGACGCAAGUCUGAACCAGCCAUGCCGCGUGCAUGAAGACGGCCCUACGGGUUGUAAACUGCUUUUGUACCGGAAUAAACCUUUCCUCGUGAGGGAAGCUGAAUGUACGGUAAGAAUAAGGAUCGGCUAACUCCGUGCCAGCAGCCGCGGUAAUACGGAGGAUCCAAGCGUUAUCCGGAUUUAUUGGGUUUAAAGGGUGCGUAGGUGGCCUAUUAAGUCAGGGGUGAAAGACGGUAGCUUAACUAUCGCAGUGCCUUUGAUACUGAUGGGCUUGAAUACACUUGAGGUAGGCGGAAUGUGACAAGUAGCGGUGAAAUGCAUAGAUAUGUCACAGAACACCAAUUGCGAAGGCAGCUUACUAAAGUGUUAUUGACACUGAGGCACGAAAGCGUGGGGAUCAAACAGGAUUAGAUACCCUGGUAGUCCACGCCCUAAACGAUGAAUACUCGAUGUUGGCGAUAUACGGUCAGCGUCUAAGCGAAAGCGUUAAGUAUUCC
rnacentral:rRNA from 1 species